rnacentral:rRNA from 1 species
UGGGGAAUAUUGCACAAUGGGCGAAAGCCUGAUGCAGCGACGCCGCGUGAGGGAUGACGGCCUUCGGGUUGUAAACCUCUUUCAGUAGGGACGAAGCGCAAGUGACGGUACCUACAGAAGAAGCACCGGCCAACUACGUGCCAGCAGCCGCGGUAAUACGUAGGGUGCGAGCGUUGUCCGGAUUCACUGGGCGUAAAGAGCUCGUAGGCGGUUUGUCACGUCGUCUGUGAAAACCCGAGGCUUAACCUCGGGCCUGCAGGGGAUACGGGCAGACUUGAGUACUGUAGGGGAGAAUGGAAUUCCUGGUGUAGCGGUGGAAUGCGCAGAUAUCAGGAGGAACACCGGUGGCGAAGGCGGGUCUCUGGGCAGUAACUGACGCUGAGGAGCGAAAGCGUGGGUAGCGAACAGG